ensembl:lncRNA
GGCGGCCGCGCUAAGUGCGGGGCGGCUGUGGCCCGGCCUCUCAGGGUCCCCCCCUCAACGGGGGUGUGGCCGGGUUGGGGGACACGCGGAACGCAGCUGUGCUUCGGGUCGCCGGCAGUGGGGCCCCACUCUCGCCUCUCCUCCACCGCCAGGGGCUUGGCGGGGUCUCGGGGGAAGCGGGCAGCACCGCGUGCCCCCCCCACCAACCCCAGCUCAGACAUCGAGGAGACGCAAAUAGGGGAGCAGGGCCUGGUGUGCCCAACCUCUGGAUGCCCUCCCCUGAAUAUAACUGUGGUGGGCAGCCAAGCAGCUUCGGGGCCCUGACCUUCAGAAGGCUUCUCUGGAUCGUCUUGGGGAGCGGCCUGGCCGUGACGGGGGCAGCCUGUAAUUAAAGAUCGCCAGGGCCAAGGCUCCAGGAGGAGGGUCUCCUCAGGAAGGGGGCCAUCAGACCCUCCCUGUGGGACUCUUCGGAAGCUCCCAGCUGGCGGCUCUUCUGUCCCCUGGCCAGGCCAGCUCCGCGCAGGCUGGGCAGAGUCAGGGAGGCAGAGAUCGGUCGCUAGGCCAGGGACUUUCGGGGCACCUUGCUGGCUGUGAGGGGUCCUCGGGCCGCACUCUGGGAUCCCCGACGCCGGCGCAGGGCCGCUCUGUGGGUAUCCGCGGAGGUUUCAGGGCCGCUUUGAAGAGCUACAAGAGGGUGUGGAGCGCACGAUGUCUCAGCCGGGUCAGCCCCUGCGCUGACUGGCCGCAGUGAGGCCGCCUACCUUCUGAUCCUAAACUAGGGGCUUUAGUCCGCAGAAGACUACCCGGGAGGAAGCAAAAGCGUGUGGGGUGAGGCCUAAGGUGGAAACAGUGGCCUGGAGGACAAUAGUGGACAAGUGAGUUCGAGGCAAAAAACCGAGGCUCAACAAGGUGAAAGUCACACAGGUAGUGGCCCAGGCAGCACCUGGCGUCCAUCCUGGGUUGCAGGAAGCUAUGCAUCCACCCCGGUUGUCAAACAGGCCUGGCAGGAGCCGGAGGAGGGAAAAGCACUGCUGUUUGCUCCUCCAAAUGUAGGGGGUCUGCUGGGAAACUCAGAGCAGAUGGUAUGGGAGAGAGGACCAGAAAUCGCUGCCCUUUGAUGUCUCCCUAGCCAAGAAUGCAAGCCUCUCUCACCCCCAGCAUCCCCUUAAAGAAGCCCUGGCCUUUAGGAGAAGGUGGAGGGGAACAUGUCAGGAGCAUGAGUCUCACGGCAACCUCAUCACCAAACACAGGCAUUUCUUCGUCCUUAAGCAAAAUGACAUGGGCCGCCAAGUAAGAGAUUUAAAGGAUGCCAGUUUUUUUUUUUUUAAUCAUUGAUUGUAAACGUGCAAAAUACCUGCUGGUACUUCACUUUAGAAGAAUGUAAUUGGCAAAAAGAAAAAAAAGAGAGAAAAAAAGAGGCGGCUGAUGAAUAGAUAAUAGAUCUUUAACCACCAAUAAACAGAGAGCAGCGCCAGCAGCCUGGGG